UCCCAACUGAGCCCACGAUCAUUUCCUCCUUUCCUCUCCCACACCAGAAACUGCUCUAGAUCCGGAUAAGCAGGAAGUGGCGGUGAGGCGAUUCGUCGUGAUCUCAUCCUCCAUCAUGCUGCGCUCCUACUCCUCUCCGCCAUCCAUCGCUGCUUGGGGCUGCGGCCUCCAUCCCCAUGCAGCGCCUGCUUCGAAUCUGACAUGGUGAAGCAGCCGCCCGCGCAAGCACCUUGACGGGGGAGCCGAUACUGCCAUCUGCUGCCGAAGCUGCCUCCAAACACCUGCACCCAGGGGUGUGGAGCAGCAGCCUGCCGGCGCCCGGCGGUCAAGUACCAGAUGUCGUGGGCUCCGUCCUCCAGGUGAGCCGUACGAUAGGUAUAUAUUGCGGUGAUGUGUAAAAUUUAAGAUUUAAUUAGUAUCCGUGGCUAGCAAUUCUGGUGCUUGGGGCGACAGCAGCACGACGGAUGUGCUUGUGGCGGCGGCUGCCGCCGGCAUGAUUCAUUUUCAGCAACUCAAAUCUGGUCAGUUAUCUGUAACUCUAUAAAAAAAAGCUGCCGGAGGGGUAAACGGACCCCCACCAUUUUUUAUUAAGAGGAAGAUCUGUAACUCUAUGAACCAAAAAUAAGAUGCAUAAUCAAAUUUAUGCUGAUAGGACCACGUUUUACCAUAGUAUAGUUGAUUGAUCUACAGUUCUGUAUUUUUGGAUACUAAUUUUACUUCGUUUGAACCUGCUAGUGAUUGGUUCUUUUUUGUGUUAAAUUCACCGUAUUUACUGAUCUGAUUUUAUCUUGUUGUUCAGAGUUUUUGUGCUUAAUCGAGCAAUCAGAUGAUACUAUCGUUUAAGGUGGAGAAAUAAGUCUAUGUGGCUCUCUUCAAUUAAUGUUCCUCUGGCGGGUGGUUAUUGUUUCUUUUGACUGAAAUACAAUUCCAUGCCAUCAGUUUGGAUCAGUUCGCAUAGCCUGCUGAUUAUAAAAAUGUACAAGCAUCACCAAAAGGUGCUUUUCCCAGCAUUGGUCACUGCAGCUGCUGCUGCGCUCUGAUGUUCUAGGUCUUCCUGCCCCUGCGCAAAUGUGAAACUGUUGAUGUGGAACCUCAGAAAACCAUAUAUGGAAGAGGAAGAAUGCCAAGAUCGAACUUUGAUUCUUUGGACUAGUACAUCCUUGUGAAUAGCUUCAUCACACGUGAUUUUGUACCAAUGAGAUUUAUCAAUUUAUUAGUUACGAAUACAAUUAUUGUGCCCGCAUAAUCAAAAGAGAACUAUUAUUUUUCAUCUGGAACCGGAAUGAAUGAGCUUGGCGGCCAAGAAUAAAUUAUUUCGCGGUUAUAAAUGUCUU